CGUAGGUGGCGAGCGUUGUCCGGAAUUACUGGGUGUAAAGGGCGUGUAGGCGGGAAUGCAAGUCAGAUGUGAAAUGCCGAGGCUUAACCUCGGAGCUGCAUCUGAAACUGUGUUUCUUGAGUGUCGGAGAGGAAAGUGGAAUUCCCAGUGUAGCGGUGAAAUGCGUAGAUAUUGGGAGGAACACCAGUGGCGAAGGCGACUUUCUGGACGAUAACUGACGCUGAGGCGCGAAAGCGUGGGGAGCAAACAGGAUUAGAUACCCUGGUAGUCCACGCCGUAAACGAUGGAUACUAGGUGUAGGGGGGUAUCGACCCCCCCUGUGCCGCAGUUAACACAAUAAGUAUCCCACCUGGGGAGUACGGCCGCAAGGUUG
rnacentral:rRNA from 1 species